rnacentral:misc_RNA from 1 species
AACGCACAUUGCGCCCCCUGGCAUUCCGGGGGGCAUGCCUGUCCGAGCGUCAUUUCUGCCCUCAAGCCCGGCUUGUGUGUUGGGUGUGGUCCCCCCGGGGACCUGCCCCAAAGGCAGCGGCGACGCCCGUCGGGUCCUCGAGCGCAUGGGGCUUUGUCACUCGCUCGGGAGGGACCUGCGGGAGUCGGUCACCCCUAGAAUUUUUUUAUGGUUGACCUCGGAUCAGGUAGGAGUUACCCGCUGAACUUAA